rnacentral:rRNA from 1 species
AUUGAACGCUGGCGGCAUGCUUUACACAUGCAAGUCGAACGGUAACAGGCCGCAAGGUGCUGACGAGUGGCGAACGGGUGAGUAGUGCAUCGGAACGUGCCCAGCCGGGGGGGCUAACUACUCGAAAGAGUAGCAAAUACCGCUAACGACCUAUGGAUGAAAGUGGGGGCCCGUAAGGCCUCUCGCGAUUGGCGCGGCCGUUGUCAGAUUAGGUAGUUGGUGGGGUAAAGGCUCACCAAGCCAACGAUCUGUAGCUGGUCUGAGAGGACGACCAGCCACACUGGGACUAAGACACGGCCCAGACUCCUACGGGAGGCAGCAGUGGGGAAUUUUGGACAAUGGGCGCAAGCCUGAUCCAGCAAUGCCGCGUGCAGGAAGAAGGCCUUCGGGUUGUAAACUGCUUUUGUACGGAACGAAACGGCUCUGGUUAAUACCCGGGGCUAAUGACGGUACCGUAAGAAUAAGCACCGGCUAACUACGUG